GCCGUAAUGCGCGCAGUCUGAUCAGCCAUGCCGCGUGCGUGAUGAAGGCCUUCGGGUUGUAAACGCGCUUUUGUCAGGGAAGAUAUCGUCUGUGCUAAUACCAUGGGGUGAUGACGGUACCUGAAGAAUAAGCACCGGCUGCUACGUGCCAGCAGCCGCGGUAAU
rnacentral:rRNA from 1 species